UGGCGAGGGUGAGUAAUGUCUGGGAAACUGCCUGAUGGAGGGGGAUAACUACUGGAAACGGUAGCUAAUACCGCAUAACGUCGCAAGACCAAAGAGGGGGACCUUCGGGCCUCUUGCCAUCGGAUGUGCCCAGAUGGGAUUAGCUAGUAGGUGGGGUAACGGCUCACCUAGGCGACGAUCCCUAGCUGGUCUGAGAGGAUGACCAGCCACACUGGAACUGAGACACGGUCCAG
rnacentral:rRNA from 1 species